CAUACGAUCUACGGAUGAAAGCAGGGGAUCGCAAGACCUUGCGCGAAUGGAGCGGCCGAUGGCAGAUUAGGUAGUUGGUGAGGUAAAGGCUCACCAAGCCUUCGAUCUGUAGCUGGUCUGAGAGGACGACCAGCCACACUGGGACUGAGACACGGCCCAGACUCCUACGGGAGGCAGCAGUGGGGAAUUUUGGACAAUGGGCGCAAGCCUGAUCCAGCCAUGCCGCGUGCAGGAUGAAGGCCUUCGGGUUGUAAACUGCUUUUGUACGGAACGAAACGGCCUUUUCUAAUAAAGAGGGCUAAUGACGGUACCGUAAGAAUAAGCACCGGCUAACUACGUGCCAGCAGCCGCGGUAAUACGUAGGGUGCAAGCGUUAAUCGGAAUUACUGGGCGUAAAGCGUGCGCAGGCGGUAAUGUAAGACAGUUGUGAAAUCCCCGGGCUCAACCUGGGAACUGCAUCUGUGACUGCAUUGCUGGAGUACGGCAGAGGGGGAUGGAAUUCCGCGUGUAGCAGUGAAAUGCGUAGAUAUGCGGAGGAACACCGAUGGCGAAGGCAAUNCCCCUGGGCCUGUACUGACGCUCAUGCACGAAAGCGUGGGGAGCAAACA
rnacentral:rRNA from 1 species